AAAACGACUCUCGGCAACGGAUAUCUCGGCUCUCGCAUCGAUGAAGAACGUAGCGAAAUGCGAUACUUGGUGUGAAUUGCAGAAUCCCGUGAACCAUCGAGUCUUUGAACGCAAGUUGCGCCCCAAGCCUUCUGGCCGAGGGCACGUCUGCCUGG
rnacentral:rRNA from 66 species